rnacentral:rRNA from 2 species
AACGGAGUGAUCAAGAAACGGAGUAGGUGAACUGUCUGGAAAGGCAGGCCGAAGAAGGUAACAGCCCUGUAGCUGAAACUUCGUUUCCUCCAGAGUGGAUCCUGAGUACGGCGGGACACGUGAAACCCCGUCGGAAUCCGGGAGGACCAUCUCCCAAGGCUAAAUACUCCCUAGUGACCGAUAGUGAACCAGUACCGUGAGGGAAAGGUGAAAAGCACCCCGGAAGGGGAGUGAAAGAGAUCCUGAAACCGUGUGCCUACAACUAGUCAGAGCCCGUUAACGGGUGAUGGCGUGCCUUUUGUAGAAUGAACCGGCGAGUUACGGUAUCGUGCAAGGUUAAGCUGAUGAAGCGGAGCCGCAGCGAAAGCGAGUCUGAAUAGGGCGCAUUAGUACGAUGCCGUAGACCCGAAACCGGGUGAUCUACCCAUGUCCAGGGUGAAGGUCGGGUAACACCGACUGGAGGCCCGAACCCACGCAAGUUGAAAAUUGCGGGGAUGAGGUGUGGGUAGGGGUGAAAUGCCAAUCGAACUCGGAAAUAGCUGGUUCUCCCCGAAAUAGCUUUAGGGCUAGCCUCGAGUGAUGAGUCUUGGAGGUAGAGCACUGAUUGGACGAGGGGUCCCCACAGGAUUACCGAAUUCAGUCAAACUCCGAAUGCCAAUGACUUUAACUCGGGAGUCAGACUGCGAGUGCUAAGAUCCGUAGUCAAGAGGGAAACAGCCCAGACCAUCAGCUAAGGUCCCCAAGUAUACGUUAAGUGGAAAAGGAUGUGGAGUUGCCCAGACAAC